GCGUAAUUGGUUUAGUGGUAAAAUUCUCCGUUGCCAUCCAAGUAUCGGGGAGCCCUGGGUUCGAUUCCCAGAUUACGCA
rnacentral:tRNA from 2 species